CAGUCGCCACGGGAAUACGAAGGGGGCUAGCGUUGUUCGGAAUUACUGGGCGUAAAGCGCACGUAGGCGGAUACUUAAGUUAGGGGUGAAAUCCCAGGGCUCAACCCUGGAACUGCCUUUAAUACUGGGUAUCUUGAGUUCGAGAGAGGUGAGUGGAAUUCCGAGUGUAGAGGUGAAAUUCGUAGAUAUUCGGAGGAACACCAGUGGCGAAGGCGGCUCACUGGCUCGAUACUGACGCUGAGGUGCGAAAGCGUGGGGAGCAAACAGGAUUAGAUACCCCGGUAGUCCCUGUCUCUUAUAC
rnacentral:rRNA from 1 species